AGCUCAGCUGGAUAGAGUAUCUGACUUCGAAUCAGAGGGUCGUAGGUUCGAAUCCUGCC
rnacentral:tRNA from 1 species